rnacentral:rRNA from 1 species
AUUGAACGCCGGCGGCAUGCCUUACACAUGCAAGUCGAACGGUAACAGGUUAAGCUGACGAGUGGCGAACGGGUGAGUAAUAUAUCGGAACGUGCCCAGUCGUGGGGGAUAACGUAGCGAAAGCUACGCUAAUACCGCAUACGAUCUACGGAUGAAAGCGGGGGAUCGCAAGACCUCGCGCGAUUGGAGCGGCCGAUAUCAGAUUAGGUUGUUGGUGAGGUAAAAGCUCACCAAGCCUGCGAUCUGUAGCUGGUCUGAGAGGACGACCAGCCACACUGGAACUGAGACACGGUCCAGACUCCUACGGGAGGCAGCAGUGGGGAAUUUUGGACAAUGGACGCAAGUCUGAUCCAGCAAUGCCGCGUGCAGGACGAAGGCCUUCGGGUUGUAAACUGCUUUUGUACGGAACGAAACGGUGAGCUCUAAUAUAGUUUGCUAAUGACGGUACCGUAAGAUUAAGCACCGGCUAACUACGUGCCAGCCGCCGCCGUAAAAC